UCCACGUUCUUGCGGUGGUAUUGUGCAAGGAAUCGCAUUGUUUCAUACUCGAUGUCAUUCGACGUUAUACGUCAAGACCGUGUUCUUCUGUUCCGUGUUUCGCGUCGUGCAACGAUGAGAGAGCGAGAUACCAUUUGCAAUAUUCGCUCGCGAGACGUGUCCGACCGUGUAACGAGGUUGUCCAUUUUGUAGCCAAUUACAGGAGAGUUGCAAUUACAGCAAUUACGGUUGAAAGUUGUUUCGACUUUAACGAGCAAUUUAGUUGCGAGUGAAGUUUAAAUAUUAAACAGCGAAAAUUAUAUGAGCCGGGAGACUCGUCGAUAUAUUUAUGAACUUUAUGAGGCCGAUGUUGGUUACGCCGUGGAAAAAUUAACGUUGAACAAGAUUUUGAUAUCGGAAUAAAUAAUUUUAAUAUUCAAUUCCUGGAACGGAAGCCGGUCUAAUGGCCUGAAAAUAGAUACCCGCGGUGCUACGUGCCGAAUCAUAAAUUUUACGUCAUCGCAGCGAUUUCGUUACACACGGUCGCUCAGCUAUGAAAACCGUUGUCGCUGCAUGCCAACGCGUUCUGCUCGAAAUAGAAGAAUCAAAAAAUAGCUAGGAAACCUGAACGAGCAUUGGAGGAUUCCCCAAGCUCAAAGAAGUUCAUGGAUUCGUAGAAGCUGAUGUAAUGGAUUCUAACCUUAGAAAUGCUCUUGAACCGACUUGUGAACCACUGCCGGUUUCCUCGUUUUGUCCAAUGAAUCAUGAUCUCGAAUCAUUGUACACCUGAACCUUGAUAUUCGGUUACUCUUUAGUACAAGUUCGUGUUAGAUUCUGCAUCAUCUUUGCAGACAGCAGUCGUAGAGGAGAAGGUAAACGGUUUAGAGGAUUAGAAUCUUUUUAGAGGUCCCUCGUGUAUUAUAAUAUUCAACGAAGGUCUGUAUCCUUGAACGAACAAGUACGCAGAACAGAAUCGUGCCAAAGGAUCCUAAUCAAAGGAAACCAUCCCGUUAAUCCUAGAAUCCGUUACAGUCGCCCUUGUGCACGUUCAUCCGUCGGUUCUGUAGACGAAAUUACGAUUCGCUAAUCUCCGGCAAACAAGACACACCAAAUUCUAGAGUAUUCAUAACAAACCUCACACGUCUUCAAUACAAUAAAUAAAUAAUGUAUGUUCAAGGAUGCGAAGCUUGGUAUCAUAAAAGGUAAUGUAAUUCCAUUGUCUUUAAUUCAAUAUCUGGAGCUAUUAUCACGCACACGAAUUGCCUCCCCUAUUUUUCAAACAUUUCUAUUUCUUCUA